rnacentral:rRNA from 1 species
UACGUAGGGGGCGAGCGUUAUCCGGAUUCACUGGGUGUAAAGGGAGCGUAGACGGCCAAGCAAGCCAGGGGUGAAAGCCCGGGGCCCAACCCCGGGACUGCCCUUGGAACUGCAUGGCUGGAGUGCGGGAGGGGCAGGCGGAAUUCCUGGUGUAGCGGUGAAAUGCGUAGAUAUUAGGAGGAACACCAGUGGCGAAGGCGGUCUGCUGGACAGCAACUGACGCUGAGGCGCGAAAGCGUGGGGAGCAAACAGG